GGCAGCGCCCGGACCCCGCGGCCGCCCCGGGCGGAGGUCAACGGGCGGGGAGGGGCGGCACGAACGGCCCCGCGCUGCCCCUCGGCCAAAGCCCGCAGCGGCCUCAGCGGGAAAGUUGGGGAAAGUUCGGGCGCGCGGACCCCCGGCCCGGCCGCAGCCCCGGCCCCAUCACUCCCUCCUGCUUUUUGUCGGGUCGUUUCGCUUUUUUUUUUUUUUCCUUUCUUUUUUUUCUUAAUUAUUUCACUUCAUCUCGGUGAUGAGAUCUGACCGGGACAGCCGAAAACCAAAAUAACGCCGACGUUACGUUUAUUCCGGCCUCACAGCUGGGCUGUUCCAGUACCAGCCUCUCUUGGAUUCUGAUUCGAUUUGCUCUGCCUCGAGAGUACAAGAGAUUUGGAAUCAGAAUGGAAUCGGGACACAGAGAAAACAUUUCUUUUCAGCACUUCUCUUACUUCGUGACUUGGGCUUGAAGUUCCCACUGUUUUACCUGGGCAUAAUGAACACACCAUGGUGCUUUCUGGAUUAACAGUUGCGUAAGAGGCUUCAUCUGGACUCACUUGCACACAUCACAUUUCAAAGGAGUACAUUUCUUUGGGGGAAUGCGUUGUAAUUUUUAAAAAGGGUAUUUCACAGAUUAUUAGACAUAGUUGUGCCACUGGGUAUCAAUCUCACAGCUAAAAAACCCAAUCAUUGUGUUGUGGCAAUUGCUUACUUAACGUUUGGGCUUGUUUGUGUCGCUUUUGUGGGUUUUUUUAAAUGAAGAGAAUGAAUUCCUUUGACUGACUGCAAGGCUCAGAAAAUACCAGUUAUCAAUUCUCUUCCUAAUGACAACUGAUGACAUGAUUUUUACAAACGGUUGAGCACUUGGCAAAUGCUAACCAUAGAAAUCGAAUGAGCUGAAAGAAACUCCAGCCUGCCCCAUUGUCAUGACUGAGCUGACAGAUGGGAAAAAGAGAAGGAGGUUGUGAUGCUAUCCCAGAAGCCCAGGGGCACAGCGUGAAGUGACUGCUGAAGUGCCUUGAAAGACCCCAAGUGAGGGAAGAGCAGAUUUCCCCAAGCAGACAUCAACUGUACUUUGUUUCAGAGGUUGCCCUUUCUAACACAGCCCCCAAACGGGCUGGCCAGAUUCUCAGCAGUGGAGGUAAAAUUGAAUUUCCAGGAAGGAAAGGAAGAACUGGAGCCAGGCUGCUGCUGAGAGAGCAGGAGGGCAGGGGUGCCAGUGCAGCUGCCUGAAGCAGGUGGCCCAAAUGGCAGCAUCUGCUGCUGCCUAGGACACCGUCACCUGCCUGGGCAUCAGCGGCGUGGCCAGGCUGCUGUGCUGCCCAGUGUUUUGCUGCAAGCAGCUGCCCUCCCUGCCUGCGCUUCAUCAGCGGGGAAAAUCCCCCGGUAUGUGGAAAAGCCUCUAAGCCCCAGCGCAAGAAUUCAGAAAUUGCCAUUGACAGUCUGUUGAGAUCAAACCGCUUGGCCUUGCCUUUCCUUACCUAUUUUUCCCCCCUGUCAAUGCAUCUAAUGUGUAUCCUUUGGUUUGGUAAAAAGCAACUUGAGAAGUUAAAAGUACCAAACCUCAGUAGCUUCACCCAUAUGUGCUGCGCGCCUCAGGCUAGACAGCACAUAUUGGUAGCCAGACUGAGAAGAACAUUUACCACAUUACCUCUUAAAAACUCACUUUAUUUUUCUUGUUGAGCUGGCUCCCAUCCAAUGUGACACUCCAGCAUGAGCCAUGCAGUGACAGCAACAGCCUCCAUGGAAACACACCGGAGCAUGAGGCCAGCUUGGGGUAGAGAGAAAAGGCAGCUUCGUCCUUUUGCUUAAUCUGCUGCAUUUCCUUUUGAACGCUCUCUCCUUUCUUUUUCUUUUUCUAUUUUUUUUAAAGCAUAUUAGCAAUGCCUCUCCUCUGCCAAUGUCUUUUGUCUGUCUUUUAUAACAAUGCAAAAUUAUGCUCACCCUCAGCAAAAUGGGGCUGAUUGCAGCACACCUUACAGCCCCAGCACCACACACUUCCACUCCUUCUUUGUCACACCAUCCAAGUGCCAAAGCCAGGAUGGGAUCCUGCCCAUGCCACCAAGAUGUUGUGAAGAAAUGUGGGUUCCAGUGGGAGGAGGUUUGAAAGUGCGUUGCCAAGCCAGAGACCCUUGUGUGUUGAAGGUGUUGCAGACUCGGUAUUCCUUCUGAUCCAAAAAGAGGCAGAAAGCAGCAAAGGAAGGCUCUGUCUCAUAAAUUUCUGCACCAUCUUCCAGAAUUGUACGUAUUCCCACUUCACUCAAGAACCAGUUGACCAAGGAAGAAGUAAGUGAAAGGAAGAAAUUUAGCAGGUUGCUCUCCUAGUAGUGUAACUGGGGAGACUUUGAUGGUCAGGAUGCUGUGAGGAGGAAGGAUCCAACUAUUACCUUCAUCAUCCUUAUGUCUUUAACCAUGCCUGCCUCUCUGUCAGACUAAGAACGCGUCCCUGCAUGUAACAGCAUUAUUCAACUUCGCAUAACGCUAUUUUGAUAGAACUGAUUAUAUGAUUUUUCCUUUAAUAUUUCUCUGAAAUGCUUCUUUUUCUUUUUCCCCUCAGACUGUCAUGAAGUAGAUCUCUCACCCUAAAUAUUCACUCUUCGAUAUAGGUGGUGAACAAGACAGUUAUUUGGCACUGCUCCAAAUGCUUCAGCAUUUCAUAGGCUAAAAUCCAGCAGAAUCUGCAAGCCUACAAGCUAGCUGCUACUGUGCUUAACUUACAGACAUGUGGCUUUACAUCUACAAACUACAUGCAAACACUGAGCUUCCCCACACAUAACUCAUAGGUUCCUACUACUGAAUUCCUAACAUACAGUGUGAAGUAGCAAUUCUUGUAUAUCACGGGGAGAAUUAGGUACCUCAGAUUCACAACAGCCAGAGUACUGAGCAGGAGGUCUCUUGAACUAACCAAGAAGAAUGACAGAAAACAGAUAUAAAGUAGCAUUUCCUUCAUCUAUAGACUUAAACUGCCUAAGUGUGGGCUGCAAGCAAAUGUUAUAGGACUGGGAUUCAUGGGCCCGUACCCUCUCCCCAAGUUGAGCACCUUAGCCAUCAUUCCCAGGGGCAGUUCACAUUUUUUCCAAACAAUGCGAAACUGCCCCAACAAUAAAUGUGUGACAUGCAGUAUAGCGUGUAAUAAGCAUGUGUUAAUGUAUAAUACUUUAAUACGUGUUAUAAAUAAUAACAGACAGCAGGCACUUACUUGAUAUAUACCCUAAUUCUCUCAUCUCCCCACACAGUUCCCUCCCUAUAUUAGACACGCUUGAGGGACCGGGAUAUUUCAGACUAAAUGCAUACUGCAGGUAUUUACAUCAGGACCAACCAUUCUUCCCUCUUUCUAAUAGGGAAAGACACUCCUCUUUAGGGUCUUGCACAUUUCAUCCUAAAAUAGAUGUAUGGAUCUAAUUGGCAUCACCAGACUUCUUUGUUGCACCAUUCACUUUAGAUGGCAUUCAGAACUACAUUUUGCUUCAUUGUAAACUUCGGCUCUCUCUACACUGAUUUGGUCCCUCCCAAUAAUUUGUAUAUUUGUGGGCAGCAAUAGGUUCCCAAGGCUAAUUCUGCACUCUUCGUGACAUAAAAGCAAAUCCAUAUAAAUUCCCACAAAAAAAUAAAAAUAAAAAUGGUUGUCCCAAUGCGCCAGACCCCCAAGAAAACUAAUUGCACGGUACACAUAAGGGAACAGUAUUGCAUAAGGGAAAUCAAUUGCCCAAUUCCCUAAGUGGUGCUCUCUGAUUGAGGUUACUGAAAUUACUUCUCUUAAGAUCACCAAGGGUUCUAGACCUUCAGUCAACAUCCUUAAUAUCUGUUUCAGCGCACAAUGUCAGGUCCUGAAAUAAUGGCAAUUUGAACAUCUACAUUGAGCUGGUUGUCCUGGCCAUGUUUAGCAAGCUGGAGACGUGGCCUAAGAAUUCUGUGUAUCUUCCCAAUACCUUUCACAUCACUUCUCAUCUUUUCUUCUUCUCAUCUACCUCUCAUUCCAAGAAAGCCUGGUUAUUUUAUUAUCUUGUAGUGUGAUACACUAAAAACAAACUUUGUUGGCUACCUUCAAAGCACUUCAUAUAAAUUUAAGACAUUUACACUACCGCAGCAACACUGCAAAACAUGCCAUCUAAUUUACAUAAAGUCACCCAGAGGUUAAUUAGUAUAUGGAGGUAAAUUUCCAAAAGAGUGCACCAGGAAAAAAGCAGCAAAAAGCAAUUCUUUCCUUAAUUGGCUUUGUACACACACCUCUCACUCCAUGUUUUUCAAAUGUACUUAGUAAUUUCUGUCUUCGUUUUCUGAGAAGAUUGCAUGUCAGGUAGAAAAGAAGUCUGUCAUUCUGUAUGUCUAAGUGGUUACUUGCUGACCUUUUGUUGUGCAAUAGGCCAUUUGGAAACAUGACCAUCACAAUUGCAUGAUAGAUGCUGUAUUGCUACACUUGCACACACGCUCCGGAAUAGAAUAAAAAAGUAUCCCCGGAUAUCCUUCUGUUUGAAUAACUGCUGGCAAAGGUUGAUAAAAUCUACACAUUAAAAUGUCAUGAAAUCA